rnacentral:tRNA from 6 species
GCGCCCUUAGCUCAGCUGGAUAGAGCAACGCCCUUCUAAGGCGUGGGUCGCAGGUUCGAAUCCUGCAGGGCGUGCCA